rnacentral:rRNA from 1 species
UACAGAGGUCCCAAGCGUUGUUCGGAUUCACUGGGUUUAAAGGGUGCGUAGGUGGGUUGGUAAGUCAGUGGUGAAAUCUCCGAGCUUAACUUGGAAACUGCCAUUGAUACUAUCAGUCUUGAAUAUUGUGGAGGUCAGCGGAAUAUGUCAUGUAGCGGUGAAAUGCUUAGAUAUGACAUAGAACACCAAUUGCGAAGGCAGCUGGCUACACAUAUAUUGACACUGAGGCACGAAAGCGUGGGGAUCAAACAGG